GGGGGGGGGGGGGGGGGGGGGGGGGAGGGGGGGGGCGGGCGGGGGGGCGCGGCGUGUGGGGGGGGCUCGAGGGGGGAGGGGGGGAGUGACGCGGGGGGAGCCUGCGCGGGGGUGUGGGAUGGAUGCGGGGAACUGGGGCUAAUCACGGCUACGGGCUCCUGAUGGAGGUGGGGGGGUGGACAGUUUCGGCGGUUGGGUAUGGAGUCGCCGCUUAUCAGCCUGUUGGUGGGGCAGUGGCUUCCCAAGGCUUUGACGGGUAGCCGGCCUGAGCGGGUGACCGGCCACAUUGGGACUGAGAUACGGCCCAGCCUCCUACGGGAGGCAGCAGUGGGGAAUAUUGCACAAUGGGCGGAAGCCUGAUGCAGCAACGCCGCGUGCGGGAUGACGGCCUUCGGGUUGUAAACCGCUUUCGCCUGUGACGAAGCGUGAGUGACGGUAAUGGGUAAAGAAGCACCGGCUAACUACGUG
rnacentral:rRNA from 1 species